rnacentral:rRNA from 1 species
AUACGGAAGGUCCGGGCGUUAUCCGGAUUUAUUGGGUUUAAAGGGAGCGCAGGCGGAGAUGCAAGCGUGACGUCAAAUUUCGGGGCUCAACCCCGUCUCGCGUCGCGAACUGCGUCCCUUGGUUGCGGGAAGGGGAGGCGGAACUCGUGGUGUAGCGGUGAAAUGCAUAGAUAUCACGAAGAACCCCGAUCGCGAAGGCAGCCUUCCGGCCCGUCAACGACGCUCAUGCUCGAAGGUGCGGGUAUCAAACAGGAUUAGAUUCCCUGGUAGUCCACGCAGUAAACGAUGAUGACUAACUGCCGGCCCGUUGCGGGUCGGUGGCCAAGCGAAAGCGAUAAGUCAUCCACCUGGGGAGUACGACCGCAAGGUUGAAACUCAAAGGAAUUGACGGGG